GACGAACGCUGGCGGCGUGCUUAACACAUGCAAGUCGAACGGUAAGGCCUUCGGGUACACGAGUGGCGAACGGGUGAGCAACACGUGGGUGAUCUGCCCCCCACUCUGGGAUAAGCCUGGGAAACUCGGUCCACUACUGGAUAUGACCUUCUUCUGCAUGGAUGGUGGUGGAAAGUUUUUCGGUAGGGGAUGAGCCCGCGGCCUAUCAGCUUGUUGGUGGGGUAAUGGCCUACCAAGGCGACGACGGGUAGCCGGCCUGAGAGGGCGACCGGCCACACUGGGACUGAGACACGGCCCAGACUCCUACGGGAGGCAGCAGUGGGGAAUAUUGCACAAUGGGCGAAAGCCUGAUGCAGCGACGCCGCGUGGGGGAUGACGGCCUUCGGGUUGUAAACCCCUUUCAGUCGGGACGAAGCGAGAGUGACGGUACCGAUAGAAGAAGCACCGGCCAACUACGUGCCAGCCGCCGCCGUAAUAC
rnacentral:rRNA from 1 species